UUCUUGUCAAAUUUCCGCCACGACGGAAGGCGUGUGUGUAUAGCACGCAUCUGUCACCUAGUACCACGCGGAACGCACCAUGCUAGCGAAGGCUGUUCCUCGGCCGUGCUCCGGCGCUGGCCGCCAUGGCGCGCCAGCGGCGAGGCUGUGGUCCGUCGGUGUCGCCGGAGGUCCGAGGAGGGGAGGAGCCGGUGGCAGGCUCGUGGCGGCGGACGCAGGGGAGAGGAUGACGGGGUCAGAAGCCGUGCCGGUGGUGGCUGUGGCUGCCGGGAAGCAGCCCGUCAAUGGAUCAGCCAUGGCAGAUAAAUUUCUCACCAUGUGCAACACAUGGUGCAUUAACAUAUUUGUGGAUGUCCAAUCCUCAAAACCAACCCCACCAACUUGGUCCCUGAUGGAGUAUGAGCAACAACCAGGACGAAAGCCAUGCACGGAUAAGAACGGUUUGGGUAUCGACAAGCUUGUGACCUCAACUGUUGGGAAAUCGACAAACGUUCUUUGGCAUGACUGUCCAAUAGGUCAGUUUGAGAGGCAGGAACUGCUAAAUCAGAAGGGUUGUGUUGUGUGGAUAACAGGGUUAAGUGGUUCAGGGAAAAGCACACUAGCAUGCGCGCUAAGUCGCGAGCUGCACUCCAGAGGUCAUCUGACCUACAUUCUAGACGGUGACAAUCUAAGGCAUGGGUUAAACCGAGACCUCUGUUUCGAAGCAAAGGACCGUGCUGAAAAUAUACGCAGAGUAGGAGAAGUAGCAAAGCUGUUUGCAGAUGCUGGUCUGAUCUGCAUUGCUAGCUUGAUAUCACCCUACAGAAGUGAACGCAGCGCUUGCCGCAAAUUACUGCACAAUUCUACAUUCAUCGAGAAAAGUGUAUUUUCUCUAGGUGUUUUUGAAUGUCCCACUUGAAGUUUGUGAAGCUAGGGAUCCAAAAGGCUUGUACAAGCUUGCCCGUGCAGGAAAAAUCAAAGGGUUUACUGGAAUUGAUGAUCCUUAUGAAGCACCUUCUGACUGCGAGAUAGUGAUACAGUGCAAAGCUGGUGACUGCGCCACGCCUAAAUCGAUGGCUGAUCAAGUUGUGUCAUAUCUUGAAGCAAAUGAGUUCUUACAGGAAUAGAGACGUAUGCUAUGGAUGAAAAAACAUUCUGAAAUUGGAUCGCCAAGGGAUGUGAAAUAUGAGGUAGUAUUUAUGUCUAGAAAGAGUGAUGAUAGUAUGAGAACAUAUAUAUUGACAUAAAGAUCGAAUCUGUACAUCAUUAUAAUAAAUUGAAAUGUUUUGACGCAACAAGAA